rnacentral:lncRNA from 1 species
CUAGAUAAUCUGCACAGUUUUAUGUUAUUUUUGAUAGAUUUUUGAGUAUUUUCAGUCGUAUCAUAAUCGCUAACAACAAACAGAUACAAGACAAUACCUCAUUAGUCUGUUGAGAGCGGUUACAUUUAAUAUAGUAAAGUUCAGUCUACGAAAUAUAAAUUACAGUAAGUUAUGAAUUUUUUUUUCCGAAUUUGUUUAAUAUAAAUUAUUAAAACUUUCGUGCUAUGUUAUUUCAAUAUUUAUUUGUUCACAUCACAAGCAUUAAAGUAAAUUCUCAAUAUUCGUGUUUAUUGAAAAUGCUGAUGAACUGUGAAAUGCUGAUGAUCGACACCAAUCUAUUGCUUGCGAGAUGGUGGCUUAAACGCCGUGACACACUGAACGCGACGCGAAGCGAAGCAAAGAUGAAAGAAAAAUUUACAUCAUUUGCUUCGCGUUGCGCUGAGCCGCAGUCUAUCUGCAUUGUAGCCGAGUUAUUUCUCAUGUUUCAUGAAUUUGCCAAUGGAGAUCGUGGUUGAUUUGUUACUAGAAAGAAGUGAUCGUAUAUUUUCGGUGUUCUUUUAGUGUCAUAUCAUAUAGACGUG